UGAUUGGCUGUGGAUAACAAACUGCGGAAUGCGAAACUGUUGAUAAGGGUGGACUACUGUAACUCUGGACAAUUUCCUCAACUCUGCCCAAUAUCAAAGGAAGGCUCUUCAGGCUCCAAGCAUUGUCAGUGAUGUGCUACAAAGAGGAACAACUAAGCUGACACAGAUAUGAAGGCAGCAAUGACACUGAACUGCCAGAAUAGUGAUCCUCAAAGGUGGACAGGUGUCACACCUGAAUCCCUGGGGGUCAGGACCAAUCAACUUCCCCGCCUACCCCAACCGUGGCCACUCUUUCUAGUCAUAGUUUAUCUUAUGCCUCAGGGGCAGUAAUGGGGUUAAGAAAUGGUAGAAAGUAUGUACCCAAAUUCUCAAUCACAUUUGAUUGUUCACUAGAACUUUUUCUAAGAAGACUAAAUGGUGAGAACGGGGGGAUGGCCCUCCAGGAAAAUUCAGGUAGGUGUCAUAAUAUUUAAUGAAAGAGGCAUUUCCUUUUUUAAUCCUUUGUAGGGUCAGAAAAGAAAAAAAUUCAAGAUAUGCAAAGGAAGCCAGAUCAAAAUCCCCUUGGCCAUGGAUACUGGUGCCCUACAUCAGCACCCUUCAAGAGUGUGGAUGAGGCUGAGUAGGUGGGAACCUGCAUCCCUUGAAAGAAGCAGGCAAGGACAGGGUAGUGACAAGUGCUGGUCACUUGUGAGGGCUGCCUCCCCAUCCAGUUCCCUCUGCAGCCAGGAGCAGGAGUUGUUUCUGGCUCAAGCCAGCCCCCAUGGCCGCCAUUCCCUUAUAUGACCCUGCUUCGCAGGGUAACGUACCAGACAGUUUCACGCUCGUUAUCCUUGCAACGGAUUACUCGGUGAGGAGCAUCAGAGAACUGAAAAGACAGACUGACUUCGACUUGAAUCCUGGCUCUUCCUCUUACUAGUUUCAUGGCCUUGGCUGCCUCUGGGAUCAAGGGAAAGGAGAACUCAGUACCCUGAGGUGCACAAAAGGCACUGCACAAGAAGGCCCACAUUGACGUGCAGAAGGAAGUGAAGAGGAAGGAGUGAUACAUUCUGAAAUGGUUGAAGAGCCGAAAAAAGGCAAAGCAUUGAGGAAAGUGAGAACUGAGGAAAAGGGCACUGGAUUUGAUGACUCACUACUCUCCUUUAGUGAACUUUAAUAGAAGAGUUUCAGUAGAGUAAUAGAAACCAAAAUUGCAACCAGUUCAACGAGUAGGAGGCAAAGAAAUGCCAGUGAACAUAGAUUAUGCUUGAAAUGAAUGCAAGAGAUGAGACAGCUGACUUCAGAAAGCAGCGGAUUCAACAGAAGAUUGUUUAAUUGGCUGACAAUUUUUAUGAUAAGAAAGACCAGAAAAGGUCUAUAGGCUAAUGGGGGAGAGGAUAGUGGGAAAAGAUUGUAGAGGUUUGGGAGGUUUUUGUCCUCAGAUAGGAGGAAAGAGAGAAGGUACAUGGCACCUAAUACAUACUCAAUACGUAUUUGUUGAAUUAAAAAGGAUCUAGUUUGGAGGAUGCUAACUCUUAUGGGGAGUAAUAGUAUAAUAAUUAAGUCAAAUCUUAGCAAGAGGUGGUUCCUGGAAGAACUCAGGUCUCAUUUGAAGGGAUCCCAAGAUCCCUUGAGCCAGGCACUUCUCCCCAUGCAGGAAUAUAGAGCCAUUGAUACCAGAGAUUCUGAUGGCAAAAAGCUGGAUUUUUGUGGGAGAUUUCUUUAUUUUUAAACUUUGACAACUGUUUUAAACAACGUUAAUCCAACAAAAUAGCCAAUAUUCAGUCAAUUGGCAACCACUUGGUAACUUGUAUUUUAGCACAUAUUUCUCUAGAUCAUACUUGCUUGAAUGGCAUUUAACAGUUUUAUUGAUAUAUAAUUUACAAAUACAAUUCACCCAUUUAAAGUGUACAAUUCAACUGCUUUUAGAAAUUUCCAGAUAUGUGUAACCAUCACCACAGAGCAUUUAAAAAAUUUUCAUCACCUCAAAAAGAAACCUGGGGGUUCUUUAGCUAUCACUCCCCUAUUUCCUCACUCCCCCAACCCCAAGCAACCACUAACCUACGUUCUCUAUACAUUUGCUUAUUCUGUAUUUUAUUUGAAUGAAAUUGUGUAAAAUGUAGUCUUCUGUGACUGGCAUAUUUCACUUAGGGGAUAGGUUUUUUUUUGUUUUUGUUUUCAAGUAAAGAAGUGAGAAUGUGAAAAAUUUGGAGGGAUUUU
rnacentral:lncRNA from 1 species